GAUGAACGCUAGCUACAGGCUUAACACAUGCAAGUCGAGGGGAAACGACAUCGUAAGCUUGCUUUUGAUGGGCGUCGACCGGCGCAUGGGAGAGUAACGCGUAUCCAACCUGCCCAUCACUUGGGAAUAACCUUGCGAAAGUAAGACUAAUACCCAACGAUAUCCCACGAAGGCAUCGGAAUGGGACUAAAGAUUUAUCGGUGAUGGAUGGGGAUGCGUCUGAUUAGCUUGUUGGCGAGGUAACGGCCCACCAAGGCAACGAUCAGUAGGGGUUCUGAGAGUAGGGUCCCCGAGAUUGGAACCGAGACACGGUCCAAUGUCCUACGGGAGACAGCAGUAAGGAAUGUAGGUCAAGGGACGAUAGCCUGACCCCGCCAAGUAGGGUGCAGGAAGACGGCGCUAGGGAUUGUAAACUGCUUUUAGAAGAGAAUUAUGUGCGUCACGGGUGACUUUUUGACGGUACCUUAUGAAUAAGCACCGGCUAACUACGUG
rnacentral:rRNA from 1 species